rnacentral:tRNA from 1 species
CAUUAGAUGGCUGAAAGUAAGCUUUGAAAUUUUAAAUCAAAUAAUAGUAAUUUUACAUUUACUUCUAAUGA